rnacentral:rRNA from 3 species
GGACUACCGGGGUUUCUAAUCCCGUUCGCUACCCUAGCUUUCGCGCCUCAGCGUCAGAAGAGGUCCAGACUGUCGCUUUCGCCACUGGCGUUCCCGCCGAUAUCAACACAUUUCACCGCUCCACCGGCAGUUCCACAGUCCUCUAUCUCCCUCGAGCGACGCAGUACUGGGAGCGAUUCCACGGUUGAGCCGAUGGGAUUUCACUUCCAACUUACGCCGCCGCCUACGCGCUCUUUAAGCCCAAUGAUUCCGAAUAACGUUUGCACGGUUCGUCUUACCGCGGCGGCUGGCAC